AUGCCACUUGCAAGUCGACCCUCAACUUGCAACUGGGUCUUCUUGUUUGAUGCCGCUUGCAAGUCGAUUGCAACUGGGUCUUUUAUUUUUUAUGCCAGUUGCAAGUGGACCAUCGAUUUUGCAAACGGGUUCCUUGUUUCAUGCCACUUGCAAGUGGACCCUCGACUUGGAACUGGGUCUUCUGUUUUCAUACCACUUGCAAGUGGACCCUUGACAUGCAAUUGGGUAUUUUUACUGGAUGCCACUUGCAAGUGGAUCUUCGACUUGCAAUUGUGUCUUCUAUUUUUUUUGAAGACACUUGUAAGUGGACUCACGACUUGCAACCGGGUUUCUUUGUUUUUCAUGCCACUUGCAAGUGGACCCUCGACUUGCAACCGCGUGUUCUUUUUUAUGCCACUUGCAAGUGGACCCUCGACUAGCACCGGGUUCCUUUGUUUUCCGUGCCACUUGCAAGUGGACCCUCGACUUGCAACCAGGUCUUCUUUUUUUGAUGCCACUUGCAAGUGGACCCUCGACUUUCAACCGAGUCUUCUGUUUUCAUGCCACUUGCAAGUGGACCCUCGACGCGCAACCGGGUUUUCUGUUUUGAUGCCAGUUGCAAGUGGAGCCUCGAGGUGCAACCAGAAUUGA
rnacentral:rRNA from 1 species